AGAGUUUGAUCCUGGCUCAGAACGAACGCUGGCGGCAGGCUUAACACAUGCAAGUCGAACGCUCGUAGCAAUACGGGAGUGGCAGACGGGUGAGUAACGCGUGGGAACAUACCCUCCGGUUCGGAAUAGCUCAGGGAAACUUGGAUUAAUACCGGAUACGGCUGUGAGGCGAAAGAUUUAUCGCCGGAGGAUUGGCCCGCGUUCGAUUAGCUUGUUGGUGAGGUAACGGCUCACCAAGGCGAUGAUCGAUAGCUGGUCUGAGAGGAUGAUCAGCCACAUUGGGACUGAGACACGGCCCAAACUCCUACGGGAGGCAGCAGUGGGGAAUAUUGGACAAUGGGCGCAAGCCUGAUCCAGCCAUGCCGCGUGAGUGAUGACGGCCUUAGGGUUGUAAAGCUCUUUCGCUCGGGACGAUAAUGACGGUACCGAGAUAAGAAGCCCCGGCUAACUUCGUGCCAGCAGCCGCGGUAAUACGAAGGGGGCUAGCGUUGUUCGGAAUUACUGGGCGUAAAGCGCGUGUAGGCGGGUCUUUAAGUCAGAGGUGAAAUGCCAAGGCUCAACCUUGGAACUGCCUUUGAUACUGGAGAUCUUGAGUCCGGGAGAGGUGAGUGGAAUUGCGAGUGUAGAGGUGAAAUUCGUAGAUAUUCGCAAGAACACCAGUGGCGAAGGCGGCUCACUGGCCCGGAACUGACGCUGAGACGCGAAAGCGUGGGGAGCAAACAGGAUUAGAUACCCUGGUAGUCCACGCCGUAAACGAUGGAUGCUAGCCGUUGGGGAGCUUGCUCUUCAGUGGCGCAGCUAACGCUUUAAGCAUCCCGCCUGGGGAGUACGGUCGCAAGAUUAAAACUCAAAGGAAUGACGG
rnacentral:rRNA from 2 species